rnacentral:tRNA from 1 species
UUUUGAAAACGUAAUUGGGUAUUCUGUAUACGACUGUCCGGGGAGUUUCACGAUGGAAUUAAACUACCC